rnacentral:lncRNA from 1 species
UUUCAUUAAAGUAAAUUCACGCAAAUAAUAACUCUCAAGGACAAGAUCACUCCCAGGCAUGAUAACACUAGAAUUCUUACUUUUUUUUUUUUUUUGAGACCGAGUCUAGCUCUGUGACGCAGGCUGGAGUGCAGUGGCGCGAUCUCGGCUCACUACAAGCUCGUGCCCGGCCUAGAAUUCUUACUCUUGACUGUUAUGCUAUCAAGACACUAGUCAAGGCUUGGAAUAAAAAUUCAUGUCUUCAUGGCAUCCGCAUUUUGACAGUAGCUGAAACCAAAGGAAAAUAUAAAGUUGUCCAAAGAAAGCAGUCAAGUUAAAAACAAUGAACUGGACUCACAAAACCAUUUGUCUACUGAGCAUUGAGGGAAAGGCUGAGAACCAAGACAGAGGGCAGGAAGAGGAACCACCAAACUCCGGGACGUUCGAUGGAGGAGACAGAACAAAAUAUUAGAGUUGAUGGGUCAAGAUGACCAGCUGGUAUUGGAAUGGAUCUCCAAUAAAUUAGUUCACCUCAGUGCUCAACUAUGAUUCACCUGGUAAUUUUGGAAAACAAGGAUAUUAUUUUAAUUACCCCACAAAUGGAAGGCCAUAACCACAGAAGUGAGACUAACCAAACGUUCAGUACCUGAGAAUACAACAAUAUCCAUUAACCAUGGGAAUGAGCAGAACAUGAACUAAAUCACACUCACAAUGGAGACUCAAGGAAAAGUGGACCAGAGAUCUAAGGUGGUACAGAGCCAAAAUUGCCCAGCCAUGGACAACAGAAAGGGCUUUAACCUCAUAACUCUGAACACCACCAGCCUGGCAGAACAGCAGAGACUGUUGGCAUCACCAGGGACUAGCUGGGACCACUAUAAAAGCUUGACUCACCCUCAGCUCGGAGCGACAGAUUCGAACGUUGUCUCCUGUCCCCUUGCCAGCUGACUUGCAGUAAAG